UACAGAGGGGGGCAAGCGUUGUCCGGAAUCAUUGGGCGUAAAGAGCGUGUAGGCGGCCUGAUAAGUCGGCUGUGAAAGUCAAGGGCUCAACCCUUGAAUGCCGGCCGAUACUGUCAGGCUAGAAUCCGGAAGAGGCGAGUGGAAUUCCUGGUGUAGCGGUGAAAUGCGCAGAUAUCAGGAAGAACACCCGUGGCGAAAGCGGCUCUCUGGGACGGUACUGACGCUGAGACGCGAAAGCGUGGGGAGCGAACAGG
rnacentral:rRNA from 1 species